rnacentral:rRNA from 1 species
UUGAUAAUAAUUUUAAGUCAAUCUCUGCCCAAUGAUUUAAUUAAAUGGCUGCAGUAUAACUGACUGUACAAAGGUAGCAUAAUCAAUUGAUUUUUAAAUGGAAUCUGGAAUGAAAGGAUUAAUGAAAUAUAUUCUGUCUCAUAUAUAUAAUAUGAAUUUAAAAUUUUAAUAAAAAUGUUAAAAUUUUUUUUUGGGACGAUAAGACCCUAUAGAAUUUUAUAUAAAAUAAAUUUUAUAUUAAUAUAAAAUUUAUUUUAUAUUUAGUUGGGAGAAUUAUUAAAUUUAAAAAAUUUUAAUUUUUAUAAACUUNAAUUAAAGAAAAUUUAUUGAUUUAAAAUUUUUAAUUAUUAGAGUAAAUCACCCUUAGGGAUAACAGCGUAAUAUUUUUUUAUAGAUCUUAUAGAAAAAAAUGAUUGNGACCUCGAUGUUGAAUUAAGAUAAAUUUUAAAUGUAGAAGUUUAAUNAUUAAGUCUGUUCGACUUUUAAAAUCNUACAUGAUUUGAGUUCAAAUCGACGUAAGU